rnacentral:rRNA from 1 species
GGCUCAGAUUGAACGCUGGCGGCAUGCUUUACACAUGCAAGUCGAACGGGGUGAGGGGCUUGCUCCUCAUCUAGUGGCGAACGGGUGAGUAAUACAUCGGAACGUGCCCGAGAGUGGGGAUAACGGAGCGAAAGCUUUGCUAAUACCGCAUACGAUCUACGGAUGAAAGCAGGGGACCGCAAGGCCUUGCGCUCAUGGAGCGGCCGAUGGCAGAUUAGGUAGUUGGUGGGAUAAAAGCCCACCAAGGCGACGAUCAGUAGCUGGUCUGAGAGGACGAUCAGCCACACUGGGACUGAGACACGGCCCAGACUCCUACGGGAGGCAGCAGUGGGGAAUUUUGGACAAUGGGGGAAACCCUGAUCCAGCAAUGCCGCGUGAGUGAAGAAGGCCUUCGGGUUGUAAAGCUCUUUUGUCAGGGAAGAAACACCGGCUCUAACACAGUCCGGGAAUGACGGUACCUGAAGAAUAAGCACCGGCUAACUACGUG